UUAAAAUCCUGCAUUAUUUUCCGGACAACCCAAUACUAAUGCAUAAGGAUGCCAGAUAGUUAAGUCAAGAGGUUCGGACAUCCCUUAGCUGCCUCAUCUAGCUUUUCAUUACCCUCCAAGCCUAUACGUCCGUAACCAUCAUUGUUUUGCCAAAAUACUCCAGUUCAUGGUAUCUCUCUUUGUCACAAUGAGAGUGUUAACAGAGGACCUGACACAGACAGCAGUAAUGACACUGAGGUACCUCAAGUGCAGUCAAGGUAAUGGGUUCUCACAAAAUGGCUGUCCUGCAACCACAAAGACUGUUCACCGUAAACCAUCUGUCCUAGAAUUGAUAUAAG